rnacentral:rRNA from 1 species
AUUGAACGCUGGCGGCAGGCCUAACACAUGCAAGUCGAGCGGCAGCGGAAAGUAGCUUGCUACUUUGCCGGCGAGCGGCGGACGGGUGAGUAAUGUCUGGGAAACUGCCUGAUGGAGGGGGAUAACUACUGGAAACGGUAGCUAAUACCGCAUAACGUCGCAAGACCAAAGAGGGGGACCUUCGGGCCUCUUGCCAUCAGAUGUGCCCAGAUGGGGUUAGCUGGCAGGUAGGGUAAUGGCCUACCUGGGCGACGAUCCCUAGCUGGUCUGGGGGGAUUGACAGGCACACCGGAAACGAGACACGCUACAGACGCCUGCGGGAGGGAGCAGUGGGGAAUAUUGCACAAUGGGCGCAAGCCCGAUGCAGCCAUGCCGCGUGUGUGAAGAAGGCCUUCGGGUUGUAAAGCACUUUCAGCGAGGAGGAAGGCAGUAAGGUUAAUAACCUUGCUGAUUGACGUUACUCGCAGAAGAAGCACCGGCUAACUCCGUGCCAGCCGCCGCGGUAA